rnacentral:lncRNA from 1 species
AAAGUUGAGUAGGUUGAAAAAGACCAUAUGGCGUGCAAAGCUUAAAAUAUUUACUAUCUGCUUCUCUACAGAAAGAGUACAUUCACUCUAAUUUAGUGACUUCUUGUUGUGAAGAGAGAAAAAUAGUAUGUCUUUUGAAGGUGAAGAGGAAUCAAAUUAAUAUAUGUAGAACCUGCUGUGAUCAUGGUACUCUGUGGAUGAAGAACUUGCUUGAUUUAACCAAAAAUAAAAAACAUGGAUAGAUAAAAAUAUGAGUUCUCGCUGGCUACGCCUAAUGAUGUAAUCAAUUCGCUGAUCAUUCCUGUUACUUUUCUCAAAAAAGUGAUGAAGGCAGAAGCAGACAGAAAUGGCUCAAUAAUUAAGGACGCAAAGUAGAACCUCCCCUCUUCCGUCAGGUGUGAGCUCUGCAAGCAACUGCUUCUGUCUGCUCCGUGACGUCAGUGCUUCCCGUGCAGACUCCUCCCUGACCGAACGCUCCCCGGUGGACGUUUUGGUGAAUGCCACUUGGUUGGCUGAUGAAGUGAAGGCACAUCUGAAGAGAGGUUACAAAAAAUACUGAAAAGAAAAGAAGCGUUUUCCUUAGAAAAGAGAAGAAGCAGAAAACUUCUCUUUCCUCCCUGAUCUAUUCACCAGCCUGGCCUUCACCUUCAUAAUGUAGGCUGGGAAGUCAACACCAGGGCACUGGCCGAUUUGAUUUCUGGUGAGGGCCUUCCUUCUGAAUUGACUGAGUUUUGGUUUGGAUAAGAACUUAAUAUCAAAUGGUGGAUGGUUGGGGUAUUAAUGUUACGGAACCAGCUUCAUCUUUGCCCGUUGCCCAGAAAGCCAGACACAUAGACGACGAGAUUGCAGCAGGGAGAGGGGUUUUAAUCACAAGGCAGCCAGGUGAGGAAAUGGGAGAAUGAGUCUCAAAUCUGCCUCCCCGAAAAUGGGGACUCAGGGAUAUUUACAGGGUAGCGGACAAGGUGGUCUGAAGUGUGGAGAUAGAUUGGAGGUGAGGAGAGGUGAGGUAAGUGAUGAUCUGUGCAAGCGUAGUCAGACCGUGCCUCUUCAUAGGGCGCAUGUUCACAAAAUGGCGGCAUCAGCGUGAUCUGAGGGUGGAGUUUUUAGUCUCUUGAUGUCAAAAGGUCACUUAUCGGGCAUCUGCACAGGCCCGGUUGAUGGUCUGGUGGUCUCAACUGGCCUAAAGUGGACUAGGGGGUCCUAAUUCCUGAAAAACAGCUCAAACACCCAUUAACAUGAUGACCCAGGCUCUAGGGAGAUAUUAUCUGCAGGAACCUGGUGGGAGUCAGGUAGCAUAUUGCCUAAGCAGCACAGUUAACGAUGUGCAGUGGAACAACUAAAAGCUAUCAUCAGUAAUUGCAAAAAAGAAAAAAAACUUUAGUUACUAGCUAUCUAAUCAUUAAUGGCUAACUGUUUACCAGUUUCAUUAAAAUAUCCCACAUAACCAAGUUUCUGUCUUCUAAAACGUGUGGGUUUGUUUUUCCUUAUGUAGUCAUAGACUAGGAUUGAGAACAUUUUAUUUUUCUUUUGAAGACAUUUUGGUAUUUACUUAGAAACUAAAGAAUAUGAAUGAGUUGAAUCAUGUAACUUUCUUUAAAAGGCCAAAGAAACCUUAGAAUUUUAAGGGCUAUAAUUCCUCUAUGUUGAUCAAUUGUAAUUAAGAAAUGCUGUUUUUAGAUUUGUAAAAGAAAAAAAACCCUGUAUUUUUAAGGGUGAAUCCAAUGCAACAAUGAC